CUAUGCUUUCACUUCACCUACUCUAACCUUAAAUUUUAAGUACACUUUAGUUUUUAGUAAAUAAUCCAGAGUUUGUCCAAUCCAUAUUAUACACAAAGCACUGAAGAAUCUAAAGUAGAACCUUCUGCUUCUCUCUUCUUUUCCCCUUUGUUUGUUAUACUUUUAACGUUUAUUGCGUGACCGGGUCUAGUAACAUAUUGCCCAUUUCAGCAGCAUGGAAUUA